GGGGCAUUAGCUCAGCUGGGAGAGCGUUGCGUUCGCAUCGCAGAGGUCAGGGGUUCGAUCCCCCUAUGCUCCA
rnacentral:tRNA from 1 species